UACGCAGGGGGCGAGCGUUGUUCGGAAUUACUGGGCGUAAAGGGCGCGCAGGCGGCUCUGAAAGUCAGAUGUGAAAGCCCCGGGCUUAACCUGGGAAUUGCAUUUGAUACUCUGGAGCUUGAGUGUGGGAGAGGAGAGUGGAAUUCCCAGUGUAGAGGUGAAAUUCGUAGAUAUUGGGAAGAACACCGGGGGCGAAGGCGGCUCUGUGGACCACAACUGACGCUGAGGCGCGAAAGCGUGGGGAGCAAACAGG
rnacentral:rRNA from 1 species